UACAGAGGGUGCAAGCGUUGUUCGGAAUUACUGGGCGUAAAGCGUGCGUAGUCGGUAUUGAGAGUCGCGGGUGAAAUCCCAGGGCUUAACCCUGGAACUGCCUGCGAGACCUCAGUACUAGAGUGUGAGAGGGGAUAGUGGAAUACCCAGUGUAGCGGUGAAAUGCGUAGAGAUUGGGCGGAACACCGGUGGCGAAGGCGGCUAUCUGGCUCACAACUGACGAUCAGGCACGAAAGCGUGGGGAGCAAACAGG
rnacentral:rRNA from 1 species